rnacentral:rRNA from 1 species
GAUGAACGCUGGCGGCGUGCCUAAUACAUGCAAGUCGAGCGAACAGAUGAGGAGCUUGCUCCUCUGACGUUAGCGGCGGACGGGUGAGUAACACGUGGAUAACCUACCUAUAAGACUGGGAUAACUUCGGGAAACCGGAGCUAAUACCGGAUAAUAUAUUGAACCGCAUGGUUCAAUAGUGAAAGACGGUUUUGCUGUCACUUAUAGAUGGAUCCGCGCCGCAUUAGCUAGUUGGUAAGGUAACGGCUUACCAAGGCAACGAUGCGUAGCCGACCUGAGAGGGUGAUAGGCCACACUGGAACUGGACCACGGUCCAGACUCCUACGGGAGGCAGCAGUAGGGAAACUUCCGCAAUGGGCGAAAGCCUGACGGAGCAACGCCACGUGAGUGAUGAAGGUCUUCGGAUCGUAAAACUCUGUUAUUAGGGAAGAACAAAUGUGUAAGUAACUAUGCACGUCUUGACGGUACCUAAUCAGAAAGCCACGGCUAACUACGUG